rnacentral:rRNA from 1 species
AUUGAACGCUGGCGGCAGGCCUAACACAUGCAAGUCGAGCGGAUGAUGGGAGCUUGCUCCUUGAUUCAGCGGCGGACGGGUGAGUAAUGCCUAGGAAUCUGCCUGGCAGUGGGGGACAACGUUUCGAAAGGAACGCUAAUACCGCAUACGUCCUACGGGAGAAAGCAGGGGACCUUCGGGCCUUGCGCUAUCAGAUGAGCCUAGGUCGGAUUAGCUUGUUGGUGAGGUAAUGGCUCACCAAGGCGACGAUCCGUAACUGGUCUGAGAGGAUGAUCAGUCACACUGGAACUGAGACACGGUCCAGACUCCUACGGGAGGCAGCAGUGGGGAAUAUUGGACAAUGGGCGAAAGCCUGAUCCAGCCAUGCCGCGUGUGUGAAGAAGGUCUUCGGAUUGUAAAGCACUUUAAGUUGGGAGGAAGGGUUGUAGAUUAAUACUCUGCAAUUUUGACGUUACCGACAGAAUAAGCACCGGCUAACUCUGUGCCAGCCGCCGCGGUAAAAC